GACAAACCGCCCGAACGUUAUUCGGAAUCACUGGGCUUAAAGGGAGCGUAGGCGGGCUGCCAAGUCCGGGGGUGAAAUCCUCCAGCUUAACUGGAGAACUGCCUCGGAUACUGGAAGUCUCGAGGAGGGUAGGGGCAAGUGGAACCGUGGGUGGAGCGGUGAAAUGCGUUGAUAUCCAUGGGAACUCCGGUGGCGAAGGCGACUUGCUGGACCCUUUCUGACGCUGAGGCUCGAAAGCCAGGGGAGCAAACGGG
rnacentral:rRNA from 1 species